rnacentral:lncRNA from 1 species
AUUUUGAACUAUUUGCCUAUAUUAUUAUAUGUGAUGCCGUUAAAACACACUUCAAAGUCACACGUUUUACCAUGUUUUAGUACAAAAUGACAUUGUGUGACAAAUAAUGUAAAUUACAUGGAAAUGCAGUUUGUCACUUAGAUUUCUUUGUUGUUGUAUACUUCUAAUCAAUAAUGUAAUUGCUGUUUUUGUCCUGCAGGCAGAAGAAUCGGGCAGACACCUGUCACGCAGCGAUAGCAGAUAUGGAUCAUUAAAAAGAGGACAAAGACAAGAAAGCCAUAGUGAAGAUGAUCUGCUUUCUGAAAACAUAGAAAUGAUGGAGCUGAGAGCGAGCUACGAGGGUUGUCUGCAGGAGGUGCGGACCCUGGAGCUGCAGCAGGAGACUCUUCUGUUCCAGGUGGACUGUCUUCAGGACGCCCUCGAGGGCACGGAGGAGAUGCUCGCUGAGACCCAGAGAGACAAUCACAAUCUCACCAUGGAGCUGGAGCGAGAACGAGAGAUGAGGAGGAAGUCGGAGGACAUGCUUGCCUCAUUAAAGCGGGAGCUGGAGAGGUUAAGAGAGGAAAGAAGCAGCGAGCCGCUUCAGUCGAGGCCGGCGGGGCCCGGAGUUUGAAAAUCGUGCAGUGUGAACUCGGCAUAAGUGAGUGAAAUCCACUGUCGUUAUUACAGUGAUACAGUAGCUGUACACGUGCAUUUGUUGCCGUUUUGUUUGUGGGAUUUCGUACCCGGAUGCACCUGUAAGUACAGCAGCAGGUUGUGUUGAUGUAUCGGGUGAUUGUGCUCUUACAC